GUCGAACGGUGAGCCAAGCUUGCUUGGUGGAUCAGUGGCGAACGGGUGAGUAACACGUGAGCAACCUGCCCUGGACUCUGGGAUAAGCGCUGGAAACGGCGUCUAAUACUGGAUAUGAGCUCUCAUCCGCAUGGUGGGGGUUGGAAAGAUUUUUUGGUCUGGGAUGGGCUCGCGGCCUAUCAGCUUGUUGGUGAGGUAAUGGCUCACCAAGGCGUCGACGGGUAGCCGGCCUGAGAGGGUGACCGGCCACACUGGGACUGAGACACGGCCCAGACUCCUACGGGAGGCAGCAGUGGGGAAUAUUGCACAAUGGGCGGAAGCCUGAUGCAGCAACGCCGCGUGAGGGAUGACGGCCUUCGGGUUGUAAACCUCUUUUAGCAGGGAAGAAGCGAGAGUGACGGUACCUGCAGAAAAAGCGCCGGCUAACUACGUGCCAGCAGCCGCGGUAAUACGUAGGGCGCAAGCGUUAUCCGGAAUUAUUGGGCGUAAAGAGCUCGUAGGCGGUUUGUCGCGUCUGCUGUGAAAUCCCGAGGCUCAACCUCGGGCCUGCAGUGGGUACGGGCAGACUAGAGUGCGGUAGGGGAGAUUGGAAUUCCUGGUGUAGCGGUGGAAUGCGCAGAUAUCAGGAGGAACACCGAUGGCGAAGGCAGAUCUCUGGGCCGUAACUGACGCUGAGGAGCGAAAGGGUGGGGAGCAAACAGGCUUAGAUACCCUGGUAGUCCACCCCGUAAACGUUGGGAACUAGUUGUGGGGACCAUUCCACGGUUUCCGUGACGCAGCUAACGCAUUAAGUUCCCCGCCUGGGGAGUACGGCCGCAAGGCUAAAACUCAAAGGAAUUGACGGGGACCCGCACAAGCGGCGGAGCAUGCGGAUUAAUUCGAUGCAACGCGAAGAACCUUACCAAGGCUUGACAUACACCAGAACACCGUAGAAAUACGGGACUCUUUGGACACUGGUGAACAGGUGGUGCAUGGUUGUCGUCAGCUCGUGUCGUGAGAUGUUGGGUUAAGUCCCGCAACGAGCGCAACCCUCGUUCUAUGUUGCCAGCACGUAAUGGUGGGAACUCAUGGGAUACUGCCGGGGUCAACUCGGAGGAAGGUGGGGAUGACGUCAAAUCAUCAUGCCCCUUAUGUCUUGGGCUUCACGCAUGCUACAAUGGCCGGUACAAAGGGCUGCAAUACCGUGAGGUGGAGCGAAUCCCAAAAAGCCGGUCCCAGUUCGGAUUGAGGUCUGCAACUCGACCUCAUGAAGUCGGAGUCGCUAGUAAUCGCAGAUCAGCAACGCUGCGGUGAAUACGUUCCCGGGUCUUGUACACACCGCCCGUCAAGUCAUGAAAGUCGGUAACACCUGAAGCCGGUGGCCCAACCCUUGUGGAGGGAGCCGUCGAAGGUGGGAUCGGUAAUUAGGA
rnacentral:rRNA from 1 species